CUGAUCUUAGUUUAUUAGAAUGGUAGUUUGUCGUGCUAUUGGAGGGUUUACCAGAUUGGG
rnacentral:tRNA from 1 species